UACAGAGGGUGCGAGCGUUGUCCGGAAUCACUGGGCGUAAAGGGCGCGUAGGCGGCUCGGUAAGCGUGCGGUGAAAGCCCGGGGCUCAACCCCGGGUCGGCCGUGCGAACUGCAGAGCUGGAGCACUGUAGAGGCAGGUGGAAUUCCGGGUGUAGCGGUGGAAUGCGUAGAGAUCCGGAAGAACACCGGUGGCGAAGGCGGCCUGCUGGGCAGUUGCUGACGCUGAGGCGCGACAGCGGUGGGGAGCAAACAGG
rnacentral:rRNA from 1 species